rnacentral:rRNA from 1 species
CAGCCGCCGCGGGAAUACGGAGGGGGCUAGCGUUGUUCGGAAUUACUGGGCGUAAAGCGCACGUAGGCGGCUUGGUAAGUUAGAGGUGAAAGCCCGGAGCUCAACCCCGGAAUUGCCUUUAAGACUGCCGAGCUAGCAGGUGAGAGAGGUAAGUGGAAUUCCGAGUGUAGAGGUGAAAUUCGUAGAUAUUCGGAAGAACACCAGUGGCGAAGGCGACUGACUGGACAAGUAUUGACGCUGAGGUGCGAAAGCGUGGGGAGCAAACAGGAUUAGAUACCCCCGUAGUCCCUGUCUCUUAUAC